rnacentral:rRNA from 1 species
GACGAACGCUGGCGGCGUGCUUAACACAUGCAAGUCGAACGGAAAGGCCCUGCUUUUGUGGGGUGCUCGAGUGGCGAACGGGUGAGUAACACGUGAGUAACCUGCCCUUGACUUUGGGAUAACUUCAGGAAACUGGGGCUAAUACCGGAUAGGAGCUCCUGCUGCAUGGUGGGGGUUGGAAAGUUUCGGCGGUUGGGGAUGGACUCGCGGCUUAUCAGCUUGUUGGUGGGGUAGUGGCUUACCAAGGCUUUGACGGGUAGCCGGCCUGAGAGGGUGACCGGCGACAUUGGGACUGAGGUACGGCCCAGACUCCUACGGGAGGCAGCAGUGGGGAAUAUUGCACAAUGGGCGGAAGCCUGAUGCAGCAACGCCGCGUGCGGGAUGACGGCCUUCGGGUUGUAAACCGCUUUCGCCUGUUACGAAGCGUGAGUGACGGUAAUGGGUAAAGAAGCACCGGCUAACUACGUG